AUUGAACGCUGGCGGCAGGCCUAACACAUGCAAGUCGAACGAGUGGCGGACGGGUGAGUAAUGUCUGGGAAACUGCCCGAUGGAGGGGGAUAACUACUGGAAACGGUAGCUACUACCGCAUACCAUCGGAUGUGCCCAGGUGGGAUUAGCUAGUAGGUGGGGUAACGGCUCACCUAGGCGACGAUCCCUAGCUAGUCUGAGAGGAUGACCAGCCACACUGGAACUGAGACACGGUCCAGACUCCUACGGGAGGCAGCAGUGGGGAAUAUUGAACAAUGGGCGAAGGCCUGAUGCAGCCAUGCCGCGUGUAUGAAGAAGGUCUUCGGGUUGUAAAGUACUUUAAGCGAGGAGGCGUUACUAGCAGAAGAAGCACCGGCUAACUCCGUGCCAGCAGCCGCGGUAAUAC
rnacentral:rRNA from 1 species